rnacentral:sRNA from 1 species
CCCUACAGCCGCCAAACGACGGGGGUAAUGCUCUGUUCAUUGGGCAAGACAAAUGUGGACCUGCCAGCCCACAUGGGUGGGCUAGCGGAACAGACAUCGAGAAGAUUGGAGGAGACUGGUGAUGUUUCGAUUUGAAAAGCCCCAAAACAAGUUUUAUAUUGUUAAAAUGAAAGUUAUAUCACAAAGAGUACAGAACUGUAAUAGCCCAAAACGCCGUCGGUUGGCUACAUAAUUUGUUUCAUCAAAGCGGAGAAGGAUAAGUAAAUAACUACGAUGCAGUGGUGGAUCUUUCAACACUUGCAGCACUUAGCUGGUGGCUUAUCAAUGGGAUGUUGGCGCUGCCGGUGCGGUCGCGCAGACAAGUGACCGAAAGAAACGGCAAACAAGAAAAAAGAAGUUAAAGAAAACAGGUCUGAUACGGACAAGGUGAACAGGAGGCUCGCUUCACCGACCGACCGAUCGACCGAUCGACUCACUGGCCAACUGGCCCGACAAAUCGGAGAGUGUUGCGCGUAUGAUGCAAUGGCAAGGCUAGAGCGACAAAACAUAUAUAUUUUUUUUUGUUUAUCGCGUAAUGAAAUGGCUGUAAAUGUAUGUAAAUGCCAGCCUGAGGGGGUAGGGGUAAGUACUAGACACUUUCAACAACAGACGUGAGUAAGCACAAAUCAGUGCAAGCAAAAACUGCACCAAUAACAAACAACAAGAACAGCCAACUAUGUAAAUAACAACAAUAAUAAACGAUGUCAAGCACAAAGAUCCACAACAAACCAUUACAUAUCAUACCAAUAAGUAAAUAAUAAUUUAGCUGUAGGAUACAUCAUCUGAAAAACCAAGAGAAAACGAACAACAAUAGAGAAAACAAACCAUCAACAACAAACAUAUCAAAUUACAAUAAUACUAUUUUUUAAAUUACAUAAUUGCAACCAACAAUAACGAAACUCAACAACAAACCACUUUCCCAAGGAGGAUUACCUCCUACAAAAAAAAUGAUCAUCAAUUUCAAUAGAAAUAAUACAUCAAUUGCAGAGCUAAAAAAACCAAAAAAGAACUAAUGGAAACCCUCACCAAUAUGAAAUCCUCGAGAUUGACACCUGUCUGUAGAACAAAUUUGGGGACAAUCGGAAGAACAGCUUAUCCCCUUUUAUAGAGCAGCUGGUAAGAUCGGACAUGGGGUGCCCAGUUAUAUAUAGAACCGAAGACCAUCAAUUGCAAAUUUAUAGUACUGCUAAUCGGAUUAAAGACAUUCAGACUAAAUCGAUAUUCGUCUUCAGGUUUUGAUUGACGAUUUCAAUUCAAUGCCUAAGAAUAACUAAAUUAUUCCUUUGACAACUGAUCGACUCCUUAAUACGAUCGG